GACGAACGCUGGCGGCGUGCCUAAUACAUGCAAGUAGAACGCUGAAGCUUGGUGCUUGCACCGAGCGGAUGAGUUGCGAACGGGUGAGUAACGCGUAGGUAACCUGCCUGGUAGCGGGGGAUAACUAUUGGAAACGAUAGCUAAUACCGCAUAAUAGUAGAUGUUGCAUGACAUUUGCUUAAAAGGUGCAAUUGCAUCACUACCAGAUGGACCUGCGUUGUAUUAGCUAGUUGGUGAGGUAACGGCUCACCAAGGCAACGUUACAUAGCCGACCUGAGAGGGUGAGCGGCCACACUGGGACUGAGACACGGCCCAGACUCCUACGGGAGGCAGCAGUAGGGAAUCUUCGGCAAUGGACGGAAGUCUGACCGAGCAACGCCGCGUGAGUGAAGAAGGUUUUCGGAUCGUAAAGCUCUGUUGUAAGAGAAGAACGAGUGUGAGAGUGGAAAGUUCACACUGUGACGGUAUCUUACCAGAAAGGGACGGCUAACUACGUG
rnacentral:rRNA from 1 species